UAGAGUUUGAUCCUGGCUCAGAUUGAACGCUGGCGGCAGGCCUAACACAUGCAAGUCGAACGGUAGCACAGAGAGCUUGCUCUCGGGUGACGAGUGGCGGACGGGUGAGUAAUGUCUGGGAAACUGCCUGAUGGAGGGGGAUAACUACUGGAAACGGUAGCUAAUACCGCAUAACGUCGCAAGACCAAAGAGGGGGACCUUCGGGCCUCUUGCCAUCAGAUGUGCCCAGAUGGGAUUAGCUAGUAGGUGGGGUAACGGCUCACCUAGGCGACGAUCCCUAGCUGGUCUGAGAGGAUGACCAGCCACACUGGAACUGAGACACGGUCCAGACUCCUACGGGAGGCAGCAGUGGGGAAUAUUGCACAAUGGGCGCAAGCCUGAUGCAGCCAUGCCGCGUGUAUGAAGAAGGCCUUCGGGUUGUAAAGUACUUUCAGCGGGGAGGAAGGUGUUGUGGUUAAUAACCACAGCAAUUGACGUUACCCGCAGAAGAAGCACCGGCUAACUCCGUGCCAGCAGCCGCGGUAAUACGGAGGGUGCAAGCGUUAAUCGGAAUUACUGGGCGUAAAGCGCACGCAGGCGGUCUGUCAAGUCGGAUGUGAAAUCCCCGGGCUCAACCUGGGAACUGCAUUCGAAACUGGCAGGCUAGAGUCUUGUAGAGGGGGGUAGAAUUCCAGGUGUAGCGGUGAAAUGCGUAGAGAUCUGGAGGAAUACCCGGUGGCGAAGGCGGCCCCCUGGACAAAGACUGACGCUCAGGUGCGAAAGCGUGGGGAGCAAACAGGAUUAGAUACCCUGGUAGUCCACGCCGUAAACGAUGUCGACUUGGAGGUUGUGCCCUUGAGGCGUGGCUUCCGGAGCUAACGCGUUAAGUCGACCGCCUGGGGAGUACGGCCGCAAGGUUAAAACUCAAAUGAAUUGACGGGGGCCCGCACAAGCGGCGGAGCAUGUGGUUUAAUUCGAUGCAACGCGAAGAACCUUACCUACUCUUGACAUCCAGAGAACUUUCCAGAGAUGGAUUGGUGCCUUCGGGAACUCUGAGACAGGUGCUGCAUGGCUGUCGUCAGCUCGUGUUGUGAAAUGUUGGGUUAAGUCCCGCAACGAGCGCAACCCUUAUCCUUUGUUGCCAGCGGUCCGGCCGGGAACUCAAAGGAGACUGCCAGUGAUAAACUGGAGGAAGGUGGGGAUGACGUCAAGUCAUCAUGGCCCUUACGAGUAGGGCUACACACGUGCUACAAUGGCGCAUACAAAGAGAAGCGAACUCGCGAGAGCAAGCGGACCUCAUAAAGUGCGUCGUAGUCCGGAUUGGAGUCUGCAACUCGACUCCAUGAAGUCGGAAUCGCUAGUAAUCGUAGAUCAGAAUGCUACGGUGAAUACGUUCCCGGGCCUUGUACACACCGCCCGUCACACCAUGGGAGUGGGUUGCAAAAGAAGUAGGUAGCUUAACCUUCGGGAGGGCGCUUACCACUUUGUGAUUCAUGACUGGGGUGAAGUCGUAACAAGGUAACCUCAGUCAGUCA
rnacentral:rRNA from 1 species